AAACAACAAUAAGAUAUACUGUAGAUUGUAUGUGAAAUUUAU
rnacentral:guide_RNA from 1 species